GUGAAUGGAGUUCAGACGUUUGGUUAAGUAAUACUUACGGCACCAGGGAUGCCCUUUUGCUGGAUGUCGCUGCGUACAACAGGACUUGUCGAAAAACGACGGACCAAAGUCGUGAGGGCAGUUCUGGAAAGCAUGUUGA